rnacentral:rRNA from 1 species
GUACACUCCUACGGGAGGCAGCAGUGGGGAAUUUUGGACAAUGGGCGAAAGCCUGAUCCAGCAAUGCCGCGUGUGUGAAGAAGGCCUUCGGGUUGUAAAGCACUUUUGUCCGGAAAGAAAUCCUUGGCUCUAAUACAGUCGGGGGAUGACGGUACCGGAAGAAUAAGCACCGGCUAACUACGUGCCAGCAGCCGCGGUAAUACGUAGGGUGCGAGCGUUAAUCGGAAUUACUGGGCGUAAAGCGUGCGCAGGCGGUUUGCUAAGACCGAUGUGAAAUCCCCGGGCUCAACCUGGGAACUGCAUUGGUGACUGGCAGGCUAGAGUAUGGCAGAGGGGGGUAGAAUUCCACGUGUAGCAGUGAAAUGCGUAGAGAUGUGGAGGAAUACCGAUGGCGAAGGCAGCCCCCUGGGCCAAUACUGACGCUCAUGCACGAAAGCGUGGGGAGCAAACAGGAUUAGAAACCCCGGUAGUCCCAU